AAGCAUCUAAGCACGAAACUUGCCCCGAGAUGAGUUCUCCCUGAGACUUAGAGUCUCCUGAAGGAACGUUGAAGACGACGACGUUGAUAGGCCGGGUGUGUAAGCGCAGCGAUGCGUUGAGCUAACCGGUACUAAUGAACCGUGAGGCUUAACCUUACAACGCCGAAG
rnacentral:rRNA from 3 species